CGAAUUUAAAAGAGCUAAUUUUAUAUAAAUUUUAUUGUGUAAAAAAUAUUUAUAAUAUAAAGUUAGUAAUGAAAUGUUAAUCGUUUUUAAAUAUAUCUAAUUUUUUAAGAAAAAAAUUUAAUUUUAUUAAUAAAUUUAAAUUAUUUAUUUUAUAAAUGAUUUAAUUUAUUAUUAAAUAUUUUAAGGGAUAAGCUUUAAAUUAAAUAUUAAUAACUAAAUUUGUAUUUAAAUAAUUAAUGGGAUUAAAAAUUUCUAUUGUUAAAAUUUUGUAAAAAUUUAUUAUUUUAUAAAUAUUAUUUUUAUUUAGUUUUAUUUUUUUAUUAAAAUAAAUUAUUUAAUAUUUAAAUUAUUGAAAUAAUGAUAAAAUUAGUAUUGUUUAUUAUAAAAUUAUAAUUUAUAUGAUAAGAUUAAAUAAAGUAAUUCGGCAAAUAUAUUUUUCACCUGUUUAUUAAAAACAUCUCUUUUUGAUAAUAAUUUAAAGUAGGGCCUGCCCACUGAGUAAUUGAAGGGCCGCAGUAUUUUGACUGUGCAAAGGUAGCAUAAUCACUAGUUUUUUAAUUGAAAGCUUGUAUGAAUGGUUUGAUGAGAAAAUAACUUUCUAUGUUUAAUUUAAAGAAUUUUAUUUUUAAGUUAAAAAGCUUAAAUUUUUUUAAUAGACGAGAAGACCCUAUAGAGUUUAAUUUUUCUUAAUUUAAUUAAAAUUUUUGGAAUUUUAAAAUUUUAAUUUUUAAAAAAAAUUUGAUUGGGGUGAUUGAAAAAUUAAAGAAACUUUUUUUUUAAAAAAACAUUAAUUUAUGAUUAAUUGAUCCAUAAAAAUGAUUAAAAGAAUAAAUUACCUUAGGGAUAACAGCGUUAUUUUUUUUUAGAGUUCAAAUCGAAAGAAAAGAUUGCGACCUCGAUGUUGGAUUAAAGUUAAUUUUAGGUGUAGAGGCUUAAAAAUUUGGUCUGUUCGACCAUUGAAACUUUACAUGAUCUGAGUUUAGACCGGUGUGAGCCAGGUCGGUUUCUAUCUUUAUAUGAAUAAUAAAUUUUAGUACGAAAGGACCAAAUUUA
rnacentral:rRNA from 1 species